rnacentral:rRNA from 1 species
UACGGGGGGAGCAAGCGUUGUUCGGAUUUACUGGGCGUAAAGGGCGCGUAGGCGGCGUGACAAGUCACUUGUGAAAUCUCCGGGCUUAACUCGGAACGGUCAAGUGAUACUGUCGUGCUAGAGUACAGAAGGGGCAACUGGAAUUCUCGGUGUAGCGGUGAAAUGCGUAGAUAUCGAGAGGAACACCGGUGGCGAAGGCGGCCUUCUGGACAGCGACUGACGCUGAGACGCGAAAGCGUGGGGAGCAAACAGG